CAGUGCUUUGACAGCUUGUCUCCAUGGCAGUGGUCAGCUGGCAAGACUGAUAAAAAAGGCCCUUUUCACAGGCUGGCCCUGCCGGGUGCUGCGUCAGGCAGAGCAGCUGCUGCGUCAGGCAGCAAAGAGGCAAAAUGGCUCUUGCUCUCCUCUUGGCAGCGAUCCUGGGACUUCUGAUUGUAAAGGCUGUUUUGCUUCAGCUGAGAAACCCGAGCUCCCCUCCUUGCAUCAGGAGCUGGAUCCCUUGGUUUGGAGCCACGUUUCAGUUCGGGAAAGCUCCUCUGGAGUUUAUAGAGCAAGCCAGAAGCAAGCAUGGGCCUGUGUUCACAAUAUUCGCUUUGGGAAAACGAUUCACUUUCGUGACCGAGGAAGAAGGAGCUGAAGCAUUUUUUACAUCUAAAGACUUAAAUUUUGAACAGGCGGUACAACAAGCUGUUGAGAAUGCAGUUUCUGUCCCUGCAGAAGCAUUUUACCAGAACCACGGGAACCUCUACAGCAUGAUGAAAGGAAAAAUGGCUCCUUCUAAUCUGCACGUGUUCACGGGCACUUUAUGUGAGGAGCUACAUGAGCACAUGGCACAGCUGGGCACGGAGGGCAUAGGCGACCUCAAUGACCUGGUAAGGCAUAUCAUGUAUCCAGCAGUGGUGAACACUUUGUUUGGGAAAGGCAUCUGCCCGACAAGUCAGACUGAAAUCAAGGAGUUUGAAGAACAUUUUCAGAAGUACGAUGAGGACUUUGAAUAUGCAUCUCAGAUGCCUGAGUGCUUCCUGAGGAACUGGUCUAAAUCCAAAAAAUGGCUUCUAAAAUUAUUUGAGAAAGUAGUGUCAGAUGCUGAGAGGACCAACCCUUCAGAGACCGCAUCCAAGACGCUACUGCAACAUCUCCUGGAUUGCUUGCAAGAAAAACAUCUGGCUCCCAGUUAUGGUCUCCUAAUGCUCUGGGCUUCCCAAGCAAAUGCUGUCCCCAUUGCAUUCUGGACCCUUGUUUUCAUACUCUCUCAUCCUUCCAUUUACAAGAAAAUCAUGGAAGACCUGGCUUCUGUUUUUGGCAAAGCAGGUAAAGGUAAAAUAGAAGUCUCUGAAGAGGACCUUAAGAAGCUCCCUUUUAUUAAAUGGUGCACUUUGGAAGCCAUACGGCUGAGGUCUCCAGGUGCAAUCACCAAGAAAGUAGUAAAUCCAAUAAAAAUUCAGAAUUUCACCGUCCCUGCAGGUGACAUGCUGAUGUUGUCGCCGUAUUGGUUGCACAGGAAUCCCAAAUAUUUUCCUGACCCAGAGAUGUUCAAACCUGAUCGUUGGAAAGAGGCAAAUUUAGAGAAGAAUGUUUUCUUGGACAGCUUUGUGGCAUUUGGAGGAGGGAAGCAUCAGUGUCCAGGAAGGUGGUUUGCCAUCAUGGAAAUCCAGUUGUUUGUUGUGCUGUUCCUGUACAAAUACCAAUUUGUCCUUUUGGAUGCAGUACCAAAGGAGAGCCCUUUACAUUUGGUGGGGACACAGCAACCCAUGGCACCAUUCCGGGUCCAGUAUAAAUGCCGGGAUUGAAAGCUGCCCAGCAUUAACUUACCUUCCUUUGCCAGACACCCUGGGAUGGCUGGACCACUGAGCUGCUUCCCUACCCCACACCUUCAAAUAGAAUCAUAGAAUCGUUUUGGUUAAAAGUGACCCUUAAGAUCAUCGAGUCCAACCGUAACCGAACUCUGGCACUAAACCACGUCCCUAAGAAAUUCAUCUACGCGUCUUUUAAACCCUCCAGGGAUGGUGACUCCACCACUGCCCUGGGCAGCCUGUUCCAAUGUCUGACAACCCUUUCUGUGAAGAAAUGUUUCCUAAUAUCUAAUCUGAACCUUCCCUGGUGCAAUUUGCGGCCGUUUCCUCUCAUCCUGUCACUUGCUACUUGGGAGAAGAGACCAACCCCCUUCCAUGCUACAACCUCCUUUCAGGUAGUUGUAGACAGUGAUAAGGUCUCCCCUCAGCCUCCUGUUCUCCAGGCUGAACAGCCCCAGGUCCCUCAGCUGCUCCUCAUCACACUUGUGCUCCAGACCAGCAUUGUCACCCUCCUCUGAACUCUGUCCAGCACCUCCAGACAGGUUCUUAGCAGUUCUUAAUUUCACCUUUAAAUGCUGUACACUCUCUGUGUUGUGGUUUGCCAUACCAGUGUGGUCGUACCUGUGCUCCUCACCCGAUUGCCUGCCUCCUAAUAUUUAAGAAUCCUGGUGAUUUGUCAGUCAGAUUCUUCAAAGACUUUGCAAAUCCAAUAUACUAAACUUACCAAACAUACAUUCAGGACAAAAAGCUGCUACGUUUGGAAAUCCUGCAUGGAAAUUGUGUGAGAAGCAGUGGGAAAGCAGAUCCCUUGGCCCAGGUCACUGCGUCCCGCAGGUCUCUUCUUCAAACCAAAGCCAAAGUGGUGCCUGGUGGUAAGAAAUCUGCUCGGUCACUCCAUAGGCUCCCUCGUGCUGGUGUGUGCAAAACAUGUGACAGUGCUGAGCAGAGGCCUCCCGAUCAGACCGCAGCCACGAUAAACAAGCAUCACCCGUGUAUCACAGCCUGGGUCGGUAGGUGAAGAUCUGACCUGCCCUGCCUACAACCAGUGCAUCUUUUUUGCAAAUAAAAUGCUUUUGUAAAGGAAAAAUGUCAAGCAUGGGAAACACUGGUGUCUUGUUCCAUUGGAGCACCCUGCUCUGCAGGGUUCAGAAUUGGCCCUUGCAUGAAUAUGCGAUGCGAGUUUGAUUGUGAUGUUUGGCUACUAAUGAAAAGCGACUGCGAGAGAAGCUGUUGCUAUUUAUUAGACUACUUGUCUGAUAUCUAGAACAUUGUCCCCUUUAACAUGACUGACACAGAACAAAUUGCACAAAUCUAAAAAUAUUAAAUCCUAUAAAGAAUACCUAGUAAAAGUUGUUCAAAGAAGCUGUUGAAUAAGUUCAGAUACCAACACUUUAACUGCUGUCAGAUUUCAUAAACGAUAAUACUUGGCGUGUAUUUUUAGUCUUUUAAGUAGAGAUUAUUCAUCAUUUUAGAAGCAUUUGCAAAAAACACAAAUGGACUUUCAACAACAGUAAAAACCAUGAGAAUAACAUCCAUCGGAAAAUAACCCGUUGUAUAAUUCGUUAGAUGGUUGGCUUACCUCAGUUAUGGAUGCAACAGUUUUACAAACUUCAGCGAUUUAUGUGGCUGGAAAAUGAUUCAUACAAGUUUCUAAUUUAGCUCUUCAUGGUCAAUUCUGCAGAAGUUGCACUCUUACUGCUGUUUCAGAGUAUCUUCCAUAACGAAAAACUAUUCCUUUGAUUUUUAUGUGUGGUCAUUACCCUGAAGUCUAUAUUUUACAAUUUGGAAAUGCCCACAGUAUCCAUUCAGGUAUCUGGUAGUUUUGUCUAGUAUAUAUAUAUAUGUAUGUAUAUAUAUUAUUUUUUUUUCCCCCAAUGUGCAUUUAUUUCUGUUUUUCUGUUUAAUUCAUUUUGGGGUUGGGUUGGUUUUUUUGGUGUGUGUGUGUGGUUUUGUUUUGAUUUUUUUUUCCAAGUGAGGUAACUCAAAAAAGCAAAAUUGUGUAACUAAACCUAACUAAAAAGGUCCCUAAAGGGAAGUAUAACCUGAAGGUCAGCAUCAGUUUGGUUAGUAUGAAUAAAAGAUAUCUGAAGCCACCUGUGAAGAUUUACAAACACCCCGUUGCACAGGGGUUCUGUACUGUCCUGAAUACAGUCACAGCUCUGGUGUAGUUUCUGCAUUUUGCUGAGUUUUUCAGACUUGGUGUGGUCUUGUGCCUACUAAGAACUACAUUUUUCUUCCUUCCACAUCCCACAAGAACAGUGUGUGGGCAGUGUAUGGGAUGAAAACCAUAUUUCCCCCUCCACAGAGGAGCGAACGCAGGCAGGGACUGUGCGCAAUGUCCUGCCCAACACCUCCUUGCACAAGACUUUAUAGGGGGUGUUAGGGGAGGAACCAAAGGUGCAGAAAGGGAGGGGUCAAGGUGGGUUGGGGAGGAACAAAUGUGGAAAAAAAGAGAGGGAUAAGGGGUUUUAAACUAAAGGAAGGGAGAUUCAGGGUAGACAUGAGGAAGAAAUUGUUUAUACUGAGGGUGGUGAAACACUGGCCCAGGUUGCCCAGAGAAGUGGUGGAUGCCCCAUCCAUGGAGACAUCCCAGGCCAGGCUGGACGGGGCUCUGAGCAACCUGGUCUGGGUGAAGAUGUCCCUGCUCAUGGCAGGGGUGGCACUGGAUGAGCUUUGAAGGUCCCUUCCAACCCAAACUAUUCUAUGAUUCUUUGGUUCAUCACCAACAGUCCGGCUGUUGCUGCUCCUUGUGCGGCUUCAAUUUUGUCCUGAAGAGUUAAUCAAAGCGAGAGAAAAGGUGAUUUAUGAAGGACAUGUUGGGAAGUGCAGAAGAGGCUCCAGCUGUGUCGUUGGGUCUGUCGUCACCAACUCCCUGUUGUUGGGUCCAUCUUCUUGAAGUGGCUUCAGCAGCUCACAGGGGUUGAGUCCCUCCGAAUUUUUCUGCCCGAUGGUGAGAUCCGCGGUCAGGUUGGUGGUACGGACAGACCUACUGGAGCAGCUCGCUGAAGUGAAGGCAACAUCUGUCCCAGAGCUGGAACAAGCUUCCUAGGGAAGAGGUCAUUUAAAUAGGUUAUUAUGGAUAUAUAUAUAUAUAUGGAUAUAUAUAUGGUAAAAGAGCAUUCAGAUCGCCUCCUCUGCGGAAUCUUUACUAAAUUUACUUGUGUUCAUUCUUUGGUGGUGAACAUUCUAGCACUAAACAUUUAGCCAUUCUCUCACAUACUAGUACGAAUUUAACACCCUUGUGUUUCCUGGAUUACCCUCUGCCCAAGUAAUCGUAUUUAGUUCUGGUUUGCCAAAAAAGCAAAAUGAGAUACGGAUUAAAGUCCCAGAUUUUAUACUUAUUUAUACUCAUCCUCAUGCAAUGCUCACAGAUAAAUAGUUAUGCUAGGUAAAACAAAUAAAAUACAAUUUAAAACCAAGCCAAACAAACAGAAACACACAAAUCCCAAACCACCAAACGCUGCUUUUCCUGCUUCAGCAUCUCCCCUGGGCCAGCACAGCAGCUUUCAGAUAUUCUGGACUCCUCUUAAAAAGGAGAUAUUUUUUUCUAAUGUGAGCUGUGCUCUUUUUUAAAAAGGUUGAAGUGUUGUAAAAGCUCUUUCCCAAAUGUCUAUUUGAAGCAUCGAGUGUAUUUGCUUUGGCUUGGCGGGGAGCUUGCCCGGUUAGAGGUAGAACCCGCGAUGCCUCCGGUGCAGAGAUGCUCAGAAAGCAUUACAAAAUAAACUUAAUUUGCCUUUUGUCAAUUUGUUCAGUCGCUACACAGAUCUUCUGGGGCUAUAGCAAGAGUUAUACAUGGAUCCUUUUACUACAGGACUGUGUAGCGAUGCAGGAGCUACCGAGAUCAGGAUUGGGGACAUUUGUUAGUGAGAUUGUUGCUGGGAAAGCUGUGAAGUGUCAGAAGCCUCAAAGUUACUGAAAAAUGAAGAUAUUCAGAACCUUAAGACAAACUUGAGGAUUUAAAACCAUGUCAUUGAGCGCUGGAUUAAGAAGGGCCUGUCUGCUGUCCCAUAGUCAGGUGCUUCCUCACCCACCUCGGUAAGAGGAUCCAGCAAGAAGGAUUAAACUUCUCUAUUAUUAUACACCAGAAAAUCAGCCUUGUUUUAAGGAAUUAUUGUAACCGAUCGUUUACCUCGUACGAGGAAGUUGUGUCUCCAUUAGUUGUCACACAGAUGUGUUCUCCUCACUAUUCGGUGAACGAAGGUAUAUGUUUUGAAUCCAUUUUAGAGCAGAAUUCUUGUUCAGAACCUUCUGAACGAAACACCAUCUGUAACGACUGACGGAUCCUUCAGUGUCCACUUGGCAAGUUGUCCUGCUGUGGGUAGCUGCAGAAAUAUUUCAUGUAUGUUGUUGUAGACUGAAAAACAUUACUCAUGUUUUCAUUCGAGUGUCUGCAUUUCUGACACAGAUGUGACAUAUCUGUAUAUACUAUAAAAUCAAUACUAUUUUUAACCACAUAUUUUGUACAAAUAUUCACAUUAGCUCUGUACUUCAGUGAGAAUCUAUUAUGGUAUUAAACAUUUUGGUGGAAUUAGCAAA